CUCUCUCUCUCCUCUCCUCCGCCCGUUCUCUUCUCUCCCUCCCAGCGCCGCCGUGCGCCGCUCGUGGCCGGCACCGCCCCUCCCGUUCGCUCCCCCACCGGCCGGCGACCCCUCCCCGUAAAUCCCAGCCUCCCUCGCGCCGCCGACAGCCCCCACGCUCCACACCAAGCCGCGGCGCUCUCUUCACUCCAGCGUCGCCGUCGCUCCACCACCGGCCACCAUCUUCCUACCACUUCAUCCCCGACCUCUUGGCAACCCAUUGGACCCAACCCCAGCUCCGAUCCGUCACCGGUGAAGCCCCACCAAGUCCAUCUCCGAUUUCGACUAUUUGGCCUUAAAACCGCCCCUUGCGCUGCCACCCACGGCAAACCACCACCACCACUAGCUUCACCGACCUCCAUAGGCCCUACCCUACCAAUCUCGGGUCUUCGUUUGCACCCGUUGAAAAGUGGGUAUCUGUGACCCACGGCCACAUUGUAUUUUACAGUCCGAGCUAUUUUUCCACUUCGAGCGCACCCGUGAUCCUCGAAAAAUUAUUUUAUAGCACUGUACUUACUCAUGGCACACUUUAGAAUCUUCAGUCAAAGAUAUGGCUGCAACUAGGCCUUGUUUGUUUUCUCAGAUUUUGAUGCAGAGGAGGAUGAGGGCGAGCUUGAGGAGACGGCUCCGCCCGAUGAGUGAUCUGGGAUCACUUACUUGGCUAUCUUAUUUUAAUGUAUUGUAUUUUAUUUUUGGAUGACUGUAUAACUACCGUUUAAACCCUUACUGAUAUUUAAA